rnacentral:rRNA from 1 species
UACUCGAGUGGCGAACGGGUGAGUAACACGUGGGUGAUCUGCCUUGCACUUCGGGAUAAGCCUGGGAAACUGGGUCUAAUACCGGAUAGGACCAUGCUUUAGUGUGUGUGGUGGAAAGUUUUUCGGUGCAAGAUGAGCCCGCGGCCUAUCAGCUUGUUGGUGGGGUAAUGGCCUACCAAGGCGUCGACGGGUAGCCGGCCUGAGAGGGUGUACGGCCACAUUGGGACUGAGAUACGGCCCAG